rnacentral:rRNA from 1 species
GACGAACGCUGGCGGCGUGCCUAAUACAUGCAAGUCGGGCGGACCGACCGAGGGCUUGCUCUUGUUUGGUCAGCGGCGGACGGGUGAGUAACACGUGGACAACCUGCCCGCAAGACCGGGAUAACUCCGGGAAACCGGAGCUAAUACCGGAUAACACCGAAAACCGCAUGGUCUACGGGUGAAAGGCGGCCUUUGUGCUAUCACUUGCGGGUGGGCCCGCGCCGCAUUAGCUAGUUGGGGAGGUAACGUCCCACCAAGGCGAUGAAUAGUAGCCGGCCUGGGAGGGGGAUCGGCCACACGGGAACGGGGACACGGCCCGGCCUCCUAGGGGAGGCGGAGGUGGGGAAUCUUCGGCAAUGGGCGAAGGCCUGACGGAGGACGGCGGGGGGGGUGAUGAGGGUUUUCGGUUGUAAAGCCUCGGUGUGUGGGACGGAAGAGAGGCGUAAGAAGAGGGGCACGCCGUGACGGUACCUAACGAGAAAGCCCCGGCUAACUACGUG